rnacentral:rRNA from 2 species
CUGGUAUUGAUUGGUGCUUGCAUCAUGAUUUACAUUUGAGUGAGUGGCGAACUGGUGAGUAACACGUGGGAAACCUGCCCAGAAGCGGGGGAUAACACCUGGAAACAGAUGCUAAUACCGCAUAACAACUUGGACCGCAUGGUCCGAGUUUGAAAGAUGGCUUCGGCUAUCACUUUUGGAUGGUCCCGCGGCGUAUUAGCUAGAUGGUGGGGUAACGGCUCACCAUGGCAAUGAUACGUAGCCGACCUGAGAGGGUAAUCGGCCACAUUGGGACUGAGACACGGCCCAAACUCCUACGGGAGGCAGCAGUAGGGAAUCUUCCACAAUGGACGAAAGUCUGAUGGAGCAACGCCGCGUGAGUGAAGAAGGGUUUCGGCUCGUAAAACUCUGUUGUUAAAGAAGAACAUAUCUGAGAGUAACUGUUCAGGUAUUGACGGUAUUUAACCAGAAAGCCACGGCUAACUACGUGCCAGCAGCCGCGGUAAUACGUAGGUGGCAAGCGUUGUCCGGAUUUAUUGGGCGUAAAGCGAGCGCAGGCGGUUUUUUAAGUCUGAUGUGAAAGCCUUCGGCUCAACCGAAGAAGUGCAUCGGAAACUGGGAAACUUGAGUGCAGAAGAGGACAGUGGAACUCCAUGUGUAGCGGUGAAAUGCGUAGAUAUAUGGAAGAACACCAGUGGCGAAGGCGGCUGUCUGGUCUGUAACUGACGCU